GAUGAACGCUAGCGACAGGCCUAACACAUGCAAGUCGAGGGGUAACAUUGUUAAAGCUUGCUUUAAUAGAUGACGACCGGCGCACGGGUGCGUAACGCGUAUGCAACCUACCCAUUACAGGAGGAUAGCCCAGAGAAAUUUGGAUUAAUACUCCAUAGUAUUUACUGAAAGCAUUUUUAGUAUUUUAAAAGAUUCGUCUGGUAAUGGAUGGGCAUGCGUAUGAUUAGUUAGUUGGUAGGGUAACGGCCUACCAAGACGACGAUCAUUAGGGGUUCUGAGAGGAUAGUCCCCCACACUGGUACUGAGACACGGACCAGACUCCUACGGGAGGCAGCAGUGAGGAAUAUUGGUCAAUGGGCGAGAGCCUGAACCAGCCAAGUCGCGUGCAGGACGACUGCCCUAUGGGUUGUAAACUGCUUUUAUAUAGGAAUAAUUGUUUUUACGUGUAAGAAUUUGAAUGUACUAUAUGAAUAAGCACCGGCUAACUCCGUGCCAGCAGCCGCGGUAAUACGGAGGGUGCAAGCGUUAUCCGGAUUUAUUGGGUUUAAAGGGUGCGUAGGCGGGUUCAUAAGUCAGUGGUGAAAGUCUGUCGCUUAACGAUAGAAUUGCCAUUGAAACUGUGGAUCUUGAAUACAGUAGAGGUAGGCGGAAUAUACUGUGUAGCGGUGAAAUGCAUAGAUACGAUAUAGAACACCUAUUGCGAAGGCAGCUUACUAUGCUGUAAUUGACGCUGAUGCACGAAAGCGUGGGGAGCGAACAGG
rnacentral:rRNA from 1 species